rnacentral:rRNA from 1 species
UACGUAGGGGGCAAGCGUUGUCCGGAAUUAUUGGGCGUAAAGAGCGUGUAGGCGGCCAGAUAAGUCCGCUGUGAAAUCUCGAGGCUCAACUUCGAGCUGUCGGUGGAAACUAUCUGGCUAGAGUCCGGAAGAGGAGAAUGGAAUUCCUGGUGUAGCGGUGAAAUGCGUAGAGAUUGGGAAGAACAUCGGUGGCGAAAGCGCUCUACUGGACCUCAUCUGACACUCAGGGACGAAAGCUAGGGGAGCGAAUGGG